CCUACGGGAGGCAGCAGUGGGGAAUAUUGCACAAUGGGGGAAACCCUGAUGCAGCGACGCCGCGUGAGUGAAGAAGUAAUUCGUUAUGUAAAGCUCUAUCAGCAGGGAAGAAAAUGACGGUACCUGAGUAAGAAGCCCCGGCUAACUACGUGCCAGCAGCCGCGGUAAUACGUAGGGGGCAAGCGUUAUCCGGAUUUACUGGGUGUAAAGGGAGCGUAGACGGCAGUGCAAGUCUGGAGUGAAAGGCGGGGGCUCAACCCCCGGACUGCUCUGGAAACUGGCGAACUAGAGUGCGGGAGGGGUAAGCGGAAUGCCUAGUGUAGCGGUGAAAUGCGUAGAUAUUAGGAGGAACACCGGUGGCGAAGGCGGCUUACUGGACCGUAACUGACGUUGAGGCUCGAAAGCGUGGGGAGCAAACAGGAUUAGAUACCCGGGUAGU
rnacentral:rRNA from 1 species